AGGGACUACUGGAGGACUCAUUGCUACUAUGCUUGCUGCACCAAACUGCUAAACAAAUCUUACAAUUCUAUUUGGAUUUUGGUCCUUCCAUAUUCAACCAAACUGAAGCCAGUGGUUGGAAUCAGACUACCUAGGGUCCCCAGUUUAAUGGCAGUUGGAUGAUGUUCCUAGCCUAGAUGUAAAAUUGUCGGAUAUAUCAAUUGGAACUUCAGCUGCACCAUCUCUACUACCACCUUAUUACUUUAAGGAUGGUGAUAAUGAAUUCCAUUUAGUUGAUGGUGGUAUAGCCGCGGGCAGUCCGUCAUUGGUUGCAGUGAGUGAAGUGGUACAAGAAUUGAAUGAGAAGAUUUCUCAUUUCAUUCCUGUGAAUCCAAACAAACCUAUCAAAGUGGUGUUGUUGUCAUUAGGAUGUGGAAGAGGGGAGCCAGCUCUAAGGCUUGAUGCUAGAGAUGCAAGGUUCUUGUCAUUUAAUCAGUGGGUACCAGUUUUAGCGAUAGAUCUUGCUGCUGCUGCUGCAGACAUAAAUGAAUAUCACCUUGCAUCAGUGUUCCCUGACCUCCCAUCUUCACACAAUUACUAUCUUCGAGUUGAGGAAUAUAACUUGGAUUCAACCAUAGGCGGUUCUUGGGAUCAAGAUUUACUGCAGUUGUAAAUCACAAAGUUACACACUGUUUUAGAUCUCAUCCGUCUAUUUCAGAUCGGUCGGUUCAUAUUGAAUCUAUAUAUAAUCAGUCCAAAUCAAUCUGAACCAUUCAGAUUAGAUCAGACGGUUCUUAUUUAACACAGCGUGAAACUGUGUGAAAAGUUUACUGCAGGAAAUCCUGUUCCGUGCUAAUUCUACCCAAGAAAACAUGGAUAAACUUGUAAAGGUAGGAGAAGACUUGUUGAAACAAACUGUUAAGAUACAAAAUGUUACUUCUUUUGUCCCAUACGAAAAACCAAGUGAGGGUACAAAUGCUGCAGCUCUUAAAAGGUUGGCUAAGAUUUUGUACAAUGAGAAGCAAUACCGUUUGAAAAUGAAAUCGGUGGAGAAAGGAGGACGACCAUUUAUUGGAUAAAUGUCAAGUGUUUCUAGUUUGUUGAUUUCCUCUCAAAUGUAUUCCAUCAGAUUAAUUUCCUCCAAUUUUAUAUUUAAGAAAUUUUUUACUUUUUCUGUUCAUUCAAUUUUUAAUAUAUCUAAUUUAUAAUAUGGAUUGGAUAUAUUAGUAAUUGAAUAAAUUUAAAAGUAUAUAAAAAAAAAUUUAUAUAUAUGAAGGGAGUCUCUUAGUUUUAAUUUGUGGUUGUGACUUUGUACUAUAACCUUAGAUACCACGUGCUGAUUUUUUUUUUUUGAAGGAGAUACCACGUGCUGAUGGCACUACC